rnacentral:lncRNA from 1 species
UAGGAAAGUAAGAUGAUUCCGAUGCAGUUGGUUCAUUCUCUAUUUUAAGGUCCUCCUUGUUCUUGGGUGAUUUGGCUUCGGUUAGAGGUUUAGGGUCGAUCUCAUUGGUUUUACUAGUGUGUUCAAUGAUCUUCCCACUUCUCAGAGUCAUGAUUGAUUUGGCAUGUUCAGAAAAAGCUUCUGGGGUAUUAGAGCUCUC